rnacentral:rRNA from 1 species
UACAGAGGUCUCAAGCGUUGUUCGGAUUCAUUGGGCGUAAAGGGUGUGUAGGUGGCGCCGUAGGUCGGGUGUGAAAUUUCGGAGCUUAACUCCGAAACUGCAUUCGAUACUGCGGUGCUUGAGGACUGGAGAGGAGACUGGAAUUCCUGGUGUAGCGGUGAAAUGCGCAGAUAUCAGGAGGAACACCGGUGGCGAAGGCGGAUCUCUGGGCCUUACCUGACGCUCAGGUGCGAAAGCUAGGGGAGCGAACAGG